UAGCUGAAUAGUUACGCUGUCCGCUUUGUAAGCGGAUGAUCAUGGGUUUGAUUCCCAU
rnacentral:tRNA from 1 species